UGUAUGUAAAAGUGGUUCAUGGU
rnacentral:siRNA from 1 species